AUAACGCACGAAUCGUGUGGGUGAGACCCUGCUUCAGGAUCGAGCAUCGCGCAGCGAUACGACAACGCAUAGCGUUGCCCGUAGGGUGAGGCCAGCGGCCGAAUCAAUCCCGCACGACCCACCA
rnacentral:sRNA from 1 species